UACGAGGGGGGCGAGCGUUGUUCGGAAUUAUUGGGCGUAAAGGGCGCGUAGGCGGUUGGAUAAGUCUUGUGUGAAAUCUUCGGGCUCAACUCGAAGUCUGCACGAGAAACUAUCUGGCUUGAGUGUGGGAGAGGUGAGUGGAAUCCUGGUGUAGCGGUGAAAUGGCGUAGAUAUCAGGAGGAACACCGGUGGCGAAGGCGGCUAUCUGGACAGAGU
rnacentral:rRNA from 1 species